rnacentral:rRNA from 1 species
GACGAACGCUGGCGGCGUGCUUAACACAUGCAAGUCGAACGGAAAGGCCUUUUCGGCGGUACUCGAGUGGCGAACGGGUGAGUAACACGUGGGUGAUCUGCCCUGCACUCUGGGAUAAGCCUGGGAAACUGGGUCUAAUACCGGAUAGGACCGCACUUUAGUGUGUGUGGUGGAAAGUUUUUUCGGUGUAGGAUGAGCCCGCGGCCUAUCAGCUUGUUGGUGGGGUAAUGGCCUACCAAGGCGGCGACGGGUAGCCGGACUGAGAGGUUGGUCGGCCACAUUGGGACUGAGAUACGGCCCAGACUCCUACGGGAGGCAGCAGUGGGGAAUAUUGCACAAUGGGCGCAAGCCUGAUGCAGCGACGCCGCGUGGGGGAUGACGGCCUUCGGGUUGUAAACUCCUUUCGCCAGGACGAAGCGUUUUGUGACGGUACCUGGAGAAGAAGCACCGGCUAACUACGUG